rnacentral:lncRNA from 10 species
AAAACCCAUGGACAAUCCCGAAUAUGUUGUCAAUGACGAGAAUUGGCUUGGCCCCAGUUCUGGGCUAUUUGAUUAUUGAAGAAGAUUUUAAUAUUGCACUAGGAGUUUUUGCUUUAGCUGGACUAACAGAUUUGUUGGAUGGAUUUAUUGCUCGAAACUGGGCCAAUCAAAGAUCAGCUUUGGGAAGUGCUCUUGAUCCACUUGCUGAUAAAAUACUUAUCAGUAUCUUAUAUGUUAGCUUGACCUAUGCAGAUCUUAUUCCAGGUGCCUAGGAAUGCUAACAGUCUGGGACCACAUAGACCACCAGAAAUUGCCACAGCCACCCCAGCCUUCAGCAACCACCACACUGAUCAGUCAGCAGCUGUCAACAUUGAGCUACUCAGCUCUGCUGUUGUAGUGUGAAAGCAGCCACAGAAAAUAUUUAAAUUAUUCCACUUACUUACAUGAUCAUUUCGAGAGAUGUAAUGUUGAUUGCUGCUGUUUUUUAUGUCAGAUACCGAACUCUUCCAACACCACGAACACUUGCCAAGUAUUUCAAUCCUUGCUAUGCCACUGCUAGGUUAAAACCAACAUUCAUCAGCAAGGUGAAUACAGCAGUCCAGUUAAUCUUGGUGGCAGCUUCUUUGGCAGCUCCAGUUUUCAAC